AUCCUGGGGAUCUCUGCAUCAGCUGGAAAAGGACAACAUGCUGGGCAGUUCCUUCUACAUGUGUGGGGUGUCAGGCACCACCUGGUGCAUGUCAUCCCUGUACAGCGAUCCAGAUUGGUCAUUGAAUAAGCAUUGUGAUGAGGUGAUAAAGAAGCUGAAGGGUCCUAAAGUGAACUUGAGCAAGAUUGUGAAGUGGCUGAAAUUGAGGAAAGAAGAAAACCAGGACUUCAACCUCACUGACUUCUGGGGCGCCUUCACUGCCUCCUAUUUCAUGAAAGAGAUGAACACUCGCUGUCUCUCUGAAGAAGCUCACAGGAACCACACCAACCCCUAUCCCAUCUACAGCGCCAUAGAACUGGAGCACAAAAAACUGGGCUGCACUAAAGCGGUGUGGUUGAGAU